AUGACACACGCUCCAAGCAGCACUGUCACCCCCCUUGUCCAGGUCCUUUAAAAUCCUCUUCCAUCCUUUCAUGUGAAUAAAGUGCCUAUUGUGUGUGCAGUUUGUUGGCAAAGAGGCCUGUAGGUGUGGCCUGGAGUCGGAUUCUGGGAGGCUUUGAAGAGAGAACGUCACUGUUUGGUUCUUGCAUGAAGGUUUAAAAUUCACCUUUUUAUUUCAAUUAUGUCAGAUACCUCCAAUGAUGUACAGUUAUGGUUGUACACACCAUGGUUGAAGUUUUUUGUCAACCCCCCUACAGCGAAGUGUAAAUUUAUUAGAUUGAUGAGUGUCUUUGAAGCUGAGCCCCUCUCAAAGGGCGCCCAACUCAGCCUGAGUGACACAACCGGCCUGCCUGGCAGACUUCAAAUAGACAGGUCGGCCAGAUCUGACAUGAUUGACCGCCAACCAGUCCAAGGAAACCCACUCCGAGCCUCAAAGUGAUUGCCGAUAGGCUGGACUGGAGCUCACCUGCAAAAUGAAUGUGGACAACCUUGACCAUCCCAGUCAGACUCAAAGUCCGAUCGAUCAAAGGCAGCCUAUCCUCACGCUGUGUCUACCGGGGGUGUAUUGAGGAAGUGAUGACCUCUGACCCUUAACUGACAGCAGGCCUGAUACAGGAAAGGGUCAGGGGGUCGCAACAGAGGCUCUUUCACACCUCACACACUGCUGCACAACGGAUGGGGUGGUUUUUUUUUUUUUUUUUUUUUUUUUUGGGGGG